rnacentral:rRNA from 1 species
CCUACGGGAGGCAGCAGUGGGGAAUAUCGCACAAUGGGGGAAACCCUGAUGCAGCGACGCCGCGUGAGUGAAGAAGUAUUUCGGUACGUAAAGCUCUAUCAGCAGGGAAGAAAAUGACGGUACCUGACUAAGAAGCCCCGGCUAACUACGUGCCAGCAGCCGCGGUAAUACGUAGGGGGCAAGCGUUAUCCGGAUUUACUGGGGGUAAAGGGAGCGUAGACGGCAGCGCAAGUCUGGAGUGAAAUCCCAUGGCUUAACCAUGGAACUGCUUUGGAAACUGUGCAGCUAGAGUGCAGGAGAGGUAAGCGGAAUUCCUAGUGUAGCGGUGAAAUGCGUAGAUAUUAGGAGGAACACCAGGGGCGAAGGCGGCUUACUGGACUGUAACUGACGUUGAGGCUCGAAAGCGUGGGGAGCAAACAGGAGUAGAUACCCCGGUAGUC